rnacentral:miRNA from 1 species
CCUCCAGGGCUAGGAGGUGG